UACGGAGGGGGCAAGCGUUAUUCGGAAUCAUUGGGCGUAAAGGGCGCGUAGGCGGAUCUUUAAGUCAGGGGUGAAAUCCCAAGGCUCAACCUUGGAACUGCCUUUGAUACUGGGGAUCUCGAGUCCGGAAGAGGUGAGUGGAACUGCGAGUGUAGAGGUGAAAUUCGUAGAUAUUCGCAAGAACACCAGUGGCGAAGGCGGCUCACUGGUCCGGUACUGACGCUGAGGUGCGAAAGCGUGGGGAGCAAACAGG
rnacentral:rRNA from 1 species